UGCAACUCGAAUGGCAAAGUGUCUCGAUG
rnacentral:piRNA from 1 species